rnacentral:tRNA from 1 species
GUCGGGAUAGCUCAGCUGGUAGAGCAAAGGACUGA